GGGGGUGUAGCUCAGAUUGGUUAGAGCAUCGGACUGUCAAUCCGAAGGCCGCGGGUUCGAGUCCCGUCACUCCCG
rnacentral:tRNA from 1 species